rnacentral:rRNA from 1 species
GAUGAACGCUGGCGGCGUGCCUAAUACAUGCAAGUCGAGCGAACUGAUUAGAAGCUUGCUUCUAUGACGUUAGCGGCGGACGGGUGAGUAACACGUGGGCAACCUGCCUGUAAGUCUGGGAUAACUUCGGGAAACCGAAGCUAAUACCGGAUAGGAUCUUCUCCUUCAUGGGAGAUGAUUGAAAGAUGGUUUCGGCUAUCACUUACAGAUGGGCCCGCGGUGCAUUAGCUAGUUGGUGAGGUAACGGCUCACCAAGGCAACGGUGCAUAGCCGACCUGAGAGGGUGAUCGGCCACACUGGGACUGAGACACGGCCCAGACUCCUACGGGAGGCAGCAGUAGGGAAUCUUCCGCAAUGGACGAAAGUCUGACGGAGCAACGCCGCGUGAGUGAUGAAGGCUUUCGGGUCGUAAAACUCUGUUGUUAGGGAAGAACAAGUACGAGAGUAACUGCUCGUACCUUGACGGUACCUAACCAGAAAGCCACGGCUAACUACGUGCCAGCCGCCGCCGUAAUAC